AGAGGCUUAGGAACGGGUCCACAACGGCAACGGAUGGAGAUCCUACUGCGAAUACAGGAACCCUGUGGUCGCAUUU
rnacentral:tRNA from 1 species